UAAAGAGUAUGAGUUUGAUGAAAAGAAGAUGGCAAAUGUGCAGUCUCAUCUGGAAAAAUUGGUUGCCAAUAACUAUUACUUGAACAGGUCUCCAAAAGAUGCGUACAGAUAAAUAUAUUAUUCAUGAAGUGAAGGCAAGAAUAGUUGAAUGGUAUAUGAUUAUGAACAGGGGAAAAUGCGUAAAAUAAAUAAUGAUUCUUUUUAUUAUGGAUGGUGCACAGGACAAGGGCAGGCUGGUCAAGACUGGAAGCUUUACACAUUCAUAUCGAUUUUGUUGAAGAUCUGAUACCCCUCUUAUCUACAGAGCAGUUCCCAUGAUGAGCAGUUGCUUGAAGCAGCUUGGUGUCUUACAAACAUAGCUGCUGGAAAACCUAAAGAAACAAGAGCUUAAUUGCCUGCAUUACCUUUACUCAUUGCUCAAAUUGGAGGUUAGUGUUAAGUAC